rnacentral:rRNA from 1 species
CUACGGGAGGCAGCAGUGGGGAAUAUUGGACAAUGGGCGCAAGCCUGAUCCAGCAAUACCGCGUGUGUGAAGAAGGCCUGAGGGUUGUAAAGCACUUUCAAUUGGGAGGAAAACCUGUCGGUCAAUACCCGGCAGCUGACAUACCUAGAGAGACCAUCCCCC